rnacentral:rRNA from 1 species
UACGUAGGGCGCAAGCGUUGUCCGGAAUUAUUGGGCGUAAAGAGCUCGUAGGCGGUCUGUCGCGUCCGUUGUGAAAACUCGAGGCUCAACCUCGGGCUUGCAGUGGAUACGGGCAGACUAGAGUGCGGUAGGGGAGACUGGAAUUCCUGGUGUAGCGGUGGAAUGCGCAGAUAUCAGGAGGAACACCGAUGGCGAAGGCAGGUCUCUGGGCCGAUACUGACGCUGAGGAGCGAAAGCGUGGGGAGCAAACAGG